rnacentral:rRNA from 1 species
UUUUCAGUGUCGCAGCGAAAGCGAUAAACACACCGCCUGGGGAGUACGACCGCAAGGUUAAAACUCAAAUGAAUUGACGGGGACCCGCACAAGUAGUGGAGCAUGUGGUUUAAUUCGAAGAUACGCGCAGAACCUUACCAACACUUGACAUGUUCGUCGCGACUCUAAGAGAUUAGAGUUUUCGGUUCGGCCGGACGAAACACAGGUGCUGCAUGGCUGUCGUCAGCUCGUGUCGUGAGAUGUUGGGUUAAGUCCCGCAACGAGCGCAACCCUCACUUUUAGUUGCCAUCAUUAAGUUGGGCACUCUGAAAGAACUGCCAGUGAUAAGCUGGAGGAAGGUGGGGAUGACGUCAAGUCCUCAUGGCCCUUACGUGUUGGGCUACACACGUGCUACAAUGGUAUCUACAACAGGAAGCAAGACUGCGAGGUCAAGCAAAUCCCUAAAAGAUACCUCAGUUCGGAUUGCACUCUGCAACUCGAGUGCAUGAAGCUGGAAUUACUAGUAAUCGUGGAUCAGCGUGCCACGGUGAAUGCGUUCCCGGGUCUUGUACACACCGCCCGUCACACCAUGGGAGUUGGUUCUACCUUAAGGCAAGGUUUCAAACCCUUGACCACGGUAUAGUCAGCGACUGGGGUGAAGUCGUAACAAGGUAGCCGUAGGGGAACCUGCGGCUGGAUUACCUCCUU